AGGAUAAACGCUGGCGGCGUGCCUAACACAUGCAAGUCGAACGCGCUUUCGGGCUUCGGUGCGAGAGCGAGUGGCGGACGGGUGAGUAACACAUGGGUACCUACCUUGGAGUGAGGGAUACCGGCGAGAAAUCGCCGACAAUACCGCAUAGGCUUCUUCACAAGGGAAGCAAAGUGACGCGAGUCACGCUGUGAGAUGGGCCUGUGGCCGAUUAGCUAGUUGGGGGGUAACGGCUUCCCAAGGCGACGAUCGGUAGCUGGUCUGAGAGGACGAUCAGCCACACUGGGAUUGAGAACGGCCCAGACUCCUACGGGGGCAGCAGUGAGGAAUUUUCCGCAAUGGAGGCAACUCUGACGGAGCAACGCCGCGUGCAGGAGGAAGGUUUUCGGAUCGUAAACUGCUUUUCUCGGGGACGAGCAAGGACGGUACCCGGAGGAAGAAGCCCCGGCUAACUACGCGCCAGCAGCCGC
rnacentral:rRNA from 1 species